rnacentral:lncRNA from 1 species
UUGUGUAGGUUGCCAUAACUUUAGUUGGUGACCUAAUCUUGACUUUGUACAAUCUAAAACUCCAGCAACUCAGCCUAAUUCAGCAGCUAGGUAAGCAACAUACAUUGUAUUUAUAUAAUAUAGGAGAUUAAAGAGAGAGAAAGCCACUUACAUUUUCAUUUUCAACCAAGCCCUUCUCUCUCUAGAAAUUCGGGAGUUAGAAAGAUAAAAAGUGAUGAGAUGAAGCAUGAUCAGUUCAUAGCAACUUAAGAACAGAAUCAGAAGUCAGAAAACCAAGAUCAAAGCUUAAAGGUAUAAGAACCCUAAUUUUAAAAAUUCUUAGAUUUGAUGUUAAAUAUUGUAAGUUGUUGUUGAAAGUUGUGUAUUAGGGUGUCUAUAAGUGAUCUGGGUUGAUAGAUCAUGGAUCUAUAACAUCUAGAUGCACGAAUUUAAUGUUUUCUAAAAUCUGGAAAUCUGGAAAAUUCUUGUCUGACAGUCAAAUGUCAGACAUCAUAGAUCGGUGUCUGUUAGUUGUUUUUGUGUUUUGACUGUUUGUAUUGAUAGUAUGUUAUCUGGUCUUUACUCUGAAACUCUAAGCAAGUCC